UACGGAGGGUGCAAACGUUGCUCGGAAUCAUUGGGCGUAAAGCGCGUGUAGGCGGCUAGUUAAGUUGAGUGUGAAAGCCCUAGGCUUAACCUAGGAAGUGCGCUCAAAACUGAUUGGCUAGAGUACGGGAGAGGGUAGUGGAAUUCCCGGUGUAGAGGUGAAAUUCGUAGAUAUCGGGAGGAACACCAGUGGCGAAGGCGGCUACCUGGACCGAUACUGACGCUGAGACGCGAAAGCGUGGGUAGCAAACAGG
rnacentral:rRNA from 1 species